rnacentral:rRNA from 1 species
AUUGAACGCUGGCGGCAGGCCUAACACAUGCGAGUCGAGCGGAUGAAGGGAGCUUGCUCCUGGAUUCAGCGGCGGACGGGUGAGUAAUGCCUAGGAAUCUGCCUGGUAGUGGGGGAUAACGUCCGGAAACGGGCGCUAAUACCGCAUACGUCCUGAGGGAGAAAGUGGGGGAUCUUCGGACCUCACGCUAUCAGAUGAGCCUAGGUCGGAUAGCUAGUUGGGGGGGUAAAGGCCUACCAAGGCGACGAUCCGUAACUGGUCUGAGAGGAUGAUCAGUCACACUGGAACUGAGACACGGUCCAGACUCCUACGGGAGGCAGCAGUGGGGAAUAUUGGACAAUGGGCGAAAGCCUGAUCCAGCCAUGCCGCGUGUGUGAAGAAGGUCUUCGGAUUGUAAAGCACUUUAAGUUGGGAGGAAGGGCAGUAAGUUAAUACCUUGCUGUUUUGACGGUACCAACAGAAUAAGCACCGGCUAACUUCGUG